rnacentral:rRNA from 1 species
UCCUUCGGGGUGAGCGGCAGACGGGUGAGUAACGCGUGGGAAUCUACCCAACUCUACGGAAUAACUCAGGGAAACUUGUGCUAAUACCGUAUACGCCCUUCGGGGGAAAGAUUUAUCGGAGUUGGAUGAGCCCGCGUUGGAUUAGCUAGUUGGUGGGGUAAAGGCCUACCAAGGCGACGAUCCAUAGCUGGUCUGAGAGGAUGAUCAGCCACAUUGGGACUGAGACACGGCCCAA